AAAACAGGGAAGUAGAUGCCCAGAGAGAGAAUGGAGAACAAACAGAGAAGGAAGCCAAGAACAACCUCCAAGGAAAACACAACAUUCAAGGUACACGUAAAAGAAUAGAAGCCAGUAAAGUAGAGAAAGAAGGACAAAUCAGAGAGGAGAAGAGCCAUGAGAUACCUCUCAGAAGCCAUGGUAUUAAACAUCUCCAGUGCCCCAGUUAAGUCAAAUAAGGUGGGAAGUGGAAACUGACGAAGUUUAUUGGACUUGGCGCUUUCGAAGUCACUGGAAAUUACCACCACAGCAAUUUCAGUAGAUUAGCAAGGUGUUGACUAGAGUACCAUUAAGAGUGAUUGAAAGGUAAAGAGAUGAAGACAACAAACAAAGGCUAUUCUUCUAAGAAAUUUAUCAUGAAGAUAAGAAGAAAAGGUAAGAAUGGUAGCCAGAGAAGAAUGUAUAUAUGUGUUGAUAAAAGGAUUUACAUAUUUGUUUAUGUUUUGGUGGAAGAAAUUUGAAUAUACUUAAGGCUGAAGGAGAUAGUAGAGAAGGAACGGAUGAAAACAGGAUAAUGGACCCUCCAUGCAGCAGAAUCCCAGGAGAGGCAGAGGAAACAAGAUGAAGUGCUUAUAUUAGGGAAUCACAUUUGACCAAAUGAAAGGGGAUAGAAGGAAGGUGAAAACCAGUAGAGUAAGGGAAAGGGUAGUUGAAACUGUUCACAAUUAAUUACCACAAGUUUUAUAGUGAGAGAGUAUAGGUAGCAGGAAGCAAGUGAAGAAGACUGUAAAGGUUUGGAGUUGCCAUGGUGGCCAGAUGAGGGAGCUGAUCAGAGGUAUGUAAAACUGUUUCAAAAUAAUGCUAAAGACCCCUUCAGGUGGAGACCAUGACUUAGCAGUGGUUCCAGUUUGGAAGAUGGUUUUUUUCCAGGGGCUCUCACCAGUGCUGGGUGCUAUAAUAGGAAAGGCAGACAUAAGCCAAGUUUGGGGGCAACAAAAGUUUGUCUUCCCCUCCUACUGAAGUUGGAAAUACUUAUUUCCCAGUUUUUAUUUCAACUGAAGAUGACCUCAUGACAGGUUUUGCUUUCCUGAUGAAAAGGAGAAGAUGUGGAUGAUAUAUGGCCCAUUUUUGCUUCCUCCUGCUCCUAGUCUGGAGUAUGGAGCAAUCCUAGAGGUGUAGCAGCUACCUGUUAAGCCUGGGGCAAAAACCAUGAGAAUCAAAGCCAACAGGGUGAGGAUGGUGAGAAGAAAGGUAGAAAGUGCCUGGGGCCAUGUUGACAUUACGGAAUAUGUUAUGGGCUGAGUUGUGUCCCCCUAAAAUUUAAAUGUUGAAGCCCUAACCCUCAGUGCCUCAUGAAGUGACCUUAUUUGCAAAUAGGGAUUUUACAUAGGUAAGCAAGUUAAAAUGUCAUUGAGGUGAGUCUUCAUCAAAUCUGACUGUUGUUCUUAUAAAAAGGGGAAAUUUAGAGACAGACACACAUGCAGGGGAAUGCCAUGUGAGGAUGCAGAGACCAGGGUGAUGCUUCUAUAAGCCAGAGAAUGACAAAGUUGCCUGAAAACCACCAGAAGCUAAUGGAAAGACAUAGAACAGUUUCUUCCCCACCAAGCUCAGAAAGGACAAACCUAUCUACACCUUGAUUUCUUUUUUUUUUUUUUUUUGCCCUAAAGCAAUGAAAUGCAGAUCGACAUCUUCAUUUUGGACAUCUAGUCUCUAGAACUCUGGAACAAUAAAUUCCUGUUGAUUAUAUCACUCAGACUGUGGUACUUUGUUACAGCCCUAGCAAAACACUCCAGAGCAUCAAAAACCCUUAAAGUAAACUCCUACCUCUAAAUGUUCUAUUACAUGAGAAAAAUAAGCAACUAUUUAUUUAAACUAAACUACUGGUUGAAUCUUCUUUUUCUUAUAGUGGAUGGAAUCUCAGCUAGAUAUAAAUAGGCAAAAGAGAUCUAAAUAGGAGGAAAAUUUGAGUAAUUAAGGAGGUAAAAGCUAGGAAGAAAUGACUGGAUCAAGAAUUUCCAUGAGGUCAAAGGCAAAUAUAAAUUAGGUUUAGAGGUUAGACUAAAAUGGAAUUUAGAAUUCCAGAAGUGGAACAGUUGUAUGUAACAAUAAGAUAAUAGGUGUGCCCAUGGAUAUAGAUUGCUGUCAUCGGAUGAUAAUUAGUGAAGUUAAGGAUGUCAGGGAACUCUAAAGCCAGGUUGGUACAUUAUUAAAAGCCAUGGGCCCUGACAUCACACAUGAUGAUUAUAAUGUGAAGAGACGAGACUGAGACUAUAAAGAAAGACCAGGAGUGAGCUAACUUGAAUGAUACCAAGGAAGAUGAUAUAAUAUGAAGGUGGAAAGCUAGUGAGAAUGCUUUCUCUGAAUCAAAGCCAAGUUCUCCAAACAGAAAUCAAGGCAAAAGAAAAACUUUAUCCAGUUUUAUUGGAGACUCAUAGCAUAGUGUGUCCAAACAGGUGCCAGUCCAAUGAAAAUUUCAAGCUCACCAAUCUGUGAGGCCACCUGGAACAAUAGGCCUGGAGCUCCUAUGCCUGUAUUCUACUGUUUGAUUCUCCUUAUGACAGACAACACUAUUAGAUCGCACAAUACAAACAGGAAGCACAAAAAGAGCAAAAAGAGAUGAAAAGAAAUGACUUGAUUCUACCAAAGAUGUCAAACAGAAAACAAUAAGACAACUUGGCAUCAAACUGUGAAUAAAUAUGCAAGGAACACAACGCACAGGAAACAGAGUUCAGGUCUGUGCAGACUUACAGUGUCAGAAUGGAUUUGACAAGCCAUGAGUAGCAAAGCACAGAGGCCUCUGUGGGCACUGUACGUGGUCAGAGCCUUGGGGCCACAGCAUUAAGCAGUGUAUACUGAAUCUUAGUGGGAUUUCAAAGAAACACAAAUAAACAGAGACUGCCCAGAUGUGAACAAGCAGAGAGUAUAUAUUCAAAGCUUGCUAUGGCAAAGGACUCAGCAUCAUCAUGUGUUUGGGACACACUCAAAGACAGAGGGGGGAAUAAGGAAGUUUUGUAGCAAAAAAAAUAAAGAGAUGGCUUCAGGUA
rnacentral:lncRNA from 1 species